rnacentral:lncRNA from 1 species
GCCAGGCUUUGUGCUGUAAUGAGCAUCACAGGCAGCACCUGCUUCUGGGCCAGAACCAUCAUGUGCCUUUCAUUACCAUCAUAAGUCAUUGUCGGCACACACUGUUACAGGACCAAAGCGUAAAAGAUCAGGAUUGGUGGCCUCAUUUUUGGUGUGUGCUGAAGCCAGUGAGCCACCACCCUGUUCCUGAUGCAGUGUAAACCUGUGCUUCAGCACAGCUGGGUGCCAGGCCAAGGGGUGACCUCCUGGAGCUGCUUUCUUCCACAUCAUAUGACCACAUCACCAACGGCUCUUCUCUAGAUGUUACGAGAGGACGCUUAAUUAGCUUGCAAGAGCCCUAGGAAAUGUCCCACCCACAAGAGGAAAGGAUAACUCGUGAUAGCCUCUGCACACUCCAGUGUGUUGGGCAGUGCUUUCCUCCUCCUCUCCCUCCCUCUCAGUUCUUCAGAAUUGCAAGACUAAGUCCUGAUGUGAUAUGAAAGACCAUGUUGGGAGCAAAACAUUAGACAAGACAAUGUGAGAUCAGGAGAAGGAUGGUUCUGCAUUACCCAGCUGGAAUGAUGAAUCACGAAUCAUGGUCAAGAGAGUCUCAAAUAUUUGAUUCAUACAUACUGUUUGUCUGGGGGAAAGGAUAGAUGAAAUAAAAUAUUACAAGUGAGAGGUGCUAGGCA